GAAUAGGAAAUAAAAUAUGUGCCCUGACAAAAUGGUGUUUGUGCAUUUACCUGGAUGGGGCAAUUUGUUUCAUUAAUGGGGAGAUGAUCUUAAAGAGGCAUGAAGUUUCAGGCGGGAGAAGGAGACCCUUGGGGUCUGAUGACGGGAGCAAAGGCACUCUUCUGUUUGACAGCAGGAAAGACGGAAGAGGAGAAUGGAAGGAUGGAAGAAGUGCUGGAGGAGCCAACUGUUGGACUUGAAGACAUUACUGCAAGAGAAGAAAAAGUUAUUCCUCAUCAGAGAUGCAAUAAGAUGUUUGGUACUGUCUGUCCCAAAUUGACUGUUUGAGGGAAGUCUAAGUAGAGAGGUAGUUAUAUUGAAUAGCCAGUUCAGAAGAAGGUAUGUCUAAUUAGCCAAAACUGUAAGAACUGACCAAUAUCUCUUGUGUUUUUCAAACGAAUCCCUGAGAUACUAGAACACAAACUCUGAGCCUCUUAGAGAAUUUUCACUGAAUCUCAAAAGCUUCUUUUGAAAGAUAUUGCUCUAUUAUUUGAUGCAGUAAAUGAGAUUAAAUGGGGCCAAACCUAAAAGAAUUAAAUCACUUACUUCCAUAUGGGGAUCCUGUUGGAGAGCCGUUAAUGAAACCAGGGGAGCCUGGAACACCCAGGUUUGACAUGGGGACGUUGCUGUAGCCAUUCAUGCUAUUGCUGGAAGUGCUAUAAUUGGACUGUUGAGGUGUGGAACUGGAUGAGUAACCGCGGGGUGAGAUGCUGCUUGUAUUACGAAUGUAACCUAAAAAUAAAACAUACUUCAUAGAA